CUUCACACACCUAGCAUUUUACCACCAUAAUUUCUGCAGUUCAAUCCCGUUUACUCCAGUUGCCAAAUUAGUGUUCUUCUUCAACCUAAUCCCUAUCGGUUUUUCAUACGUUACGGAACAAAAAAUUCCUCAUCAACAGGUCCAUUAUUUCUGGUAAUAAAUUCCUAGAAAUGUUAAAAACAAGUGAUCUUCCGAGGGUUCUCAGUUUCCUUAUAAACCGUACUCUCUACACUGUCAAUGCUGCAUUUUGUUGGUAGAGGACGUAUUGAGAAACCAUUCAUCUCAGGAAGAUCAUUUACAUCAACACUGAACUACUAUGUGUAAAACUCAUUUGUGCGGGUCUUUAAUAUAUGGCUUUGCAUUUUCAUUUUUUCAGUAUUAUUUGGUGUUUGGAAAAAUGGGUUGCCAAUGUUAGAGAAACUAAUCAAUAGGAUCCUUCAUGUAAUUUGCAAUACACAAUUAUACAUUGUGAUGGAUACAGAGACUUUUGUUUUGGGUUGCUUCAUAUCAUCAGUGAGUUCCUAAGUUUUAUCAAUGGGGGUAUCAACAAAUCCAUGAAAGUAAUCUACGUAUGUACUAAGAGUCCUCAUUUUGUAAUGUUGAGUGUUUAUCAGAUAUUCCUAGUGGGUGUUUUGCAGGUAAUCAACAUUUGUACGGCUGUAGGAAGCUUGAUUGUUUCCGACGCUGAUUACCUUGGAGGUUCAAGCUAUGAGUUUCAAAUUUAUAUAAUCGAAAUGCCAUGAAAUUUCAUUAUCAUUCACAUAACAGAUAUAUACAUUCUCCAAAUUUCAGGCGUGCAAGGGAGCUAUCCUGUGUAUUACGGGCAUGCACAUUGCAAUGAACAUGGAAGAAGCUGAAAGAGAAGAGAAACUAACAAAUUGAUAAAUGAUUAUGCUUUUCAGAAGUUUGGAUAAAUGCUCUUCUUGAUUCUCACCGACUAUUCCAUUCUCAUAUUCUUCUUCUUUUACCUGUUGAUCGCUGUAGCUGUGGUGGGAUGAUAUUUAGUGACGGCAAAGCUUAUAAAAUUAUUGUCGUGAUAGAAUAGUCGGUGAGAAUCAAGAACAAAAGUCUCCGAAACCAUUUACGUCAAGUUUGUUCAAAUGGUGUCCCAGAUUCGCACCACCUACAAAACUUUCUAACAUAUAGAGGAGGUUGAAGAAGGUAAACCCUGGAUGAUCUUUCAAAAGCGGAACAAAUUAGAUUUCAUGGGGAUUAAUGAUGUCACCAGCUUAGAUGUGUUAAUGCUCGAUGAUAAUCCCACCCAAUCAAAAAAUCCACUGAAGAUUUAGUUAACAGGUAUUCUAAAGUCUGGCUAACAGGUAUUCGAAUGAUGUUCACUAGCAACAGUACGGUGUGAUAAAAUUAGGAAAGUUGUGUGCGUUAGUAUCGCGAGUGUCCCAUUUCCAUUCUUGAUGCUAAUUACUCGCAAAUACUAAUCUCGGACACAACGAAAUCUCCCACUAUUACCGGUUUUGGUCAGUAGAGGUAUGGGCGAUUUUGUUGCUUUUCUUUUCUCUGUUCUGGUGGAGAUCUAAACUGAUACAAUUGGAGAUCUUAAGAUGUUUUAUAUUGCUCGGCGGUGACAAAUUGGAGAGAGCCGCAAGAGAAAUAAUGUGCCAUCUGCAUGUGUAAAUUUUAUGGGCUUACAUUGCAAAACCCAAAGGACCCAUUUACAAGCCCCAUCAAUACAAGAAUUUCCGUCCCACUCCUUAAAAUUAAAUUUAAAUCUCCUUCCCUUCACAGCGAAGAGCCUCGUUGAUUCCAACUUGCUUGGUCUCAUGGGUUUACAACUCCCUCAACCUGAACAUGAUGCUACUACUCAUGCUGCAAGCAAGAAGGAUGCUAAAUGAACCCUCCACUUCUUAUACAAGUGUUGUUUCCUUACGGGAAAACACACACAUUCUGUUUCUCAGGACAAGACUAACUACAUCAAAAUUUUGGCAAGAUAGUACCAUAUAAUUUGAGCUUCUGCUUGCACUGGUAUAUUGUCGCAACUUCGUUUUUGGCUUUUCACUCUGUGCAAUUAUGUCAAAGUAGUUAUGUUUUGAACAUGGUCUUUAGAGUGGUAAAGCAUGUCCAGUGGUGUUCUUUCCGUGGGUACACGACAAGAUUGGUGUUCCGAAGACUUGAGCCUUCUAAUUCCGAAGAACAAGCCUGGAGAACAAAUACUGAUUGAUAAUAUUUCAUAUUUCCUUCUAUUACUGACUGUAAUUUGGCUAUUCCGCUGUUCCCACUUCUGAAUCGGCCUUAAGAGGAAGGUGCAAGAAACUCAGCGAUGUUGAGACAUUAGGCACUUUACCGGUUUGCUGCUCCAGGGAAGCCUUCCAUUCAUGCAAUUCGUGUAGCUCUCUGUGACUCGAAGUACACGGACGUGUUGGGAAAAAAAAGAGCGACUACUCUGGCUGGUAUUCCACUUUGUUAUAGAUUUUAUGGAGUACUCUGUUAGUUAAUUGAAGACUAAUUAUUUCCUAAGUUAGUCGUGACUGUUUUGGGAAAGGGGUUUCCUAAAACAGAUAGAAUUCUUGGAGGCCAAGUUUGUAACCUAUAUAAAUAGGUAAUUAGGCCUUGUGGAAUUAUAUUGUGUAGAAAAUGAUUAAGAGAUCGGUGAGAGAUUUCUUGUAUAGUUUUUAGGGCUAAAUCUAGGGUUUCGUUGUGAGAGCAUAUUGGUGAGGAACAAGAGACAAGGUUAUCAU